AGAGGCAGCCGGAUGGCCGCUGCCGUCCCCGGCGACGGGGGCGGGGGAGGAAAGUCCGGGCUCCACAUGGACACGGUGCCGGGUAACGCCCGGCGGGGGCGACCCCAGGGAAAGUGCCACAGAAAGCAGACCACCCGCCGGGCCUGUUCCGCAAGGGGCCGGCUGCGGGCAAGGGCGAAAGGGUGCGGUAAGAGCGCACCGCGGCGUCGGCAACGAUGCCGGCAUGGUAAACCCCACCGGGAGCAAGACCGAAUAGGAACGAUGGCGACAUCUUGAUGUCGCAGCCUGUCCACGGGCCGGUCGUUCGGGUAGGUCGCGCGAGGCGUCCGGCAACGGGCGCCCUAGAGGAAUGGCCAUCCAUCGCCUGUUGGGAUUUCCAUGGCGGAAUCUUAAUCGGCAGGGACAGAACCCGGCUUACAGGCUGCCUCCCGCC
rnacentral:RNase_P_RNA from 3 species